GGGAUGGGGGAGCUGUACCCCACCACACUACCUUCAUCUGAGGGAGGAGGGUCUGAGGCCUCGACCUCUGGUUCUGAGGAAGAAGGUCUGGGUCUGGCCACUGGAUUGUGGGGGAGAGAACCAUUUUAUGCUGAAGUCUCAACUUCUAUGUUACAGCGGCCAAAAAGGCUCCCAAAGGCAAGGAUGCCCCGAAGGAAGCCCCCGCAGCAAAGCAGACUCCUCCUGCAGAGCCCCCCAAAGAGGCCCCACCGGAAGACCAAUCCCCAACUGUGGAGGAGCCUACAGGCCUCUUCCUGAAAAAGCCGGAUUCUGUGUCAGUGGAGACUGGGAAGGACACAGUGAUUCUGGCCAAGGUGAACGGAAAGGAGCUCCCAGGCAAGCCCAGCAUCAAGUGGUUCAAGGGGAAGUGGCAGGAGCUGGGUAGCAAGAGCGGAGCCCGGUUCACCUUCAAGG
rnacentral:lncRNA from 1 species